GGGCGUGUAGCUCAACGGAGAGCGCUUACGGCCCACAAGGCCCGGGUUCGACUCCCGGUGCGUCCG
rnacentral:tRNA from 1 species